rnacentral:tRNA from 1 species
CGCGGGAUGGUAGCAGAUGGUAGCUCGUCAGGCUCAUAACCUGAAGGUCGGAGGUUCGAGUCCUUCUCCCGUAA